GAGCGAUGUGGGCUCAAUGACGGUGGUUAGGGGUUCAUUGCCGCCUUCUGAUCGGCUGACGGCGGUGGUGAGUGGAUGGGGCGGAUUUGGGGCAGCAGCACUGGUAACAAUGGGAGGAGAAGAAGCAAAUACACCCGCGAAAACGCUUGUACCACCGCCGUUAGUUGGGCUGGUUUUGUUGACGUUGCAGGCCACGGCCGAGGUUAAGCUUGUCGCUGCCGGUGUUAAUGGCGGAGGUCCCAUGGGAA
rnacentral:misc_RNA from 1 species